UUGAGCUUUGGUUCGCACAUUUGGGUACAAUAAUAUCAGUGGAUUCAUACGAGUUUAAUUUAAUUUUCCUACUUAAAAAAAAAAAAAAAUACAUGUCCUAGAGUUGUGAGUUGAAUUUAGAUGGCACAGGUCUCCGUCAAGCUGACUGUUGAUAAAACAAAGGGCCAGAUUUAUGUGAAUCGAGACAGUGAAAAUGAUAAGAUAACAGGUGGAAGAAACUUCAUGCGACCUUCAACUCGAGGUGAUAAACAUCAUGCAAUAAUUCAUUGCCCAUGUUUCUUUAUGCACGUCCCUUUCGUAUUCAUGCGAUUGGUUGACCAAAAGAGAUGCCAUAGUUAUGUACAUGGAGACGAAAUUAGAUAAUCAUGACAAGAGAUAGCGACUUCGUCUAGAUUCAAAGAUUGGACAAGACCUUGUGCGUUUAGAUACGAUUGAUUCUUUUUUCCUUGGUCCCCCUUAAUUCUAAGAUUGAAUGUCGGCCAUUAAACAGAGAUUUGUUUGUUCAUUGAUCUCAUUAUCAUGACAUCGUUUCUCUUUAAUUUUUUCUUCAAUUUGAUGAGCAAGGGACAAUCGGAUUUGAUGUGCCCACAUUUCAAGCCCUCAAAGCAAAUAAUCCUUACCUUCGUUGUCCCCUUUGCCUUUGGAGAACUUCCUUUCAUCGGAUUCUCUGGUUUGCUUCUUUCCCUGGACAAUCGGAUUUGAUGUGCCCACAUUUCAAGCCCUCAAAGCAAAUAAUCCUUACCUUCGUUGUCCCCUUUGCCUUUGGAGAACUUCCUUUCAUCGGAUUCUCUGGUUUGCUUCUUUCCCUGUAAGUUCUUUCUUUUUAUCACAAGGUUCUUAAACGUCUUGGUUCUUAUCGACUGAAUCAUGUUGAGCUUUGGUUCGCACAUUUGGGUACAAUAAUAUCAGUGGAUUCAUACGAGUUUAAUUUAAUUUUCCUACUUAAAAAAAAAAAAAAAAAAAAUACAUGUCCUAGAGUUGUGAGUUGAAUUUAGAUGGCACAGGUCUCCGUCAUGCUGACUAUUGAUAAAACAAAGGGCCAGAUUUAUGUGAAUCGAGACAGUGAAAAUGAUAAGAUAACAGGUGGAAGAAACUUCAUGCGACCUUCAACUCGAGGUGAUAAACAUCAUGCAAUAAUUCAUUGCCCCUGUUUCUUUAUGCACGUCCCUUUCGUAUUCAUGCGAUUGGUUGACCAAAAGAGAGGCCAUAGUUAUGUACAUGGAGACGAAAUUAGAUAAUCAUGACAAGAGAUAGCGACUUCGUCUAGAUUCAAAGAUUGGACAAGACCUUGUGCGUUUAGAUACGAUUGAUUCUUUUUUCCUUGGUCCCCCUUAAUUCUAAGAUUGAAUGUCGGCCAUUAAACAGAGAUUUGUUUGUUCAUUGAUCUCAUUAUCAGGACAUCGUUUAUCUUUAAUUUUUUCUUCAAUUUGAUGAGCAAGGGACAAUCGGAUUUGAUGUGCCCACAUUUCAAGCCCUCAAAGCAAAUAAUCCUUACCUUCGUUGCCCCAUUUGCCUUUGGAGAACUUCCUUUCAUCGGAUUCUCUGGUCUCCGUCAAGCUGACUGUUGAUAAAACAAAGGGCCAGAUUUAUGUGAAUCGAGACAGUGAAAAUGAUAAGAUAACAGGUGGAAGAAACUUCAUGCGACCUUCAACUCGAGGGACAAUCGGAUUUGAUGUGCCCACAUUUCAAGCCCUCAAAGCAAAUAAUCCUUACCUUCGUUGUCCCCUUUGCCUUUGGAGAACUUCCUUUCAUCGGAUUCUCUGGUUUGCUUCUUUCCCUGGACAAUCGGAUUUGAUGUGCCCACAUUUCAAGCCCUCAAAGCAAAUAAUCCUUACCUUCGUUGCCCCAUUUGCCUUUGGAGAACUUCCUUUCAUCGGAUUCUCUGAGUGAAGAUCAGCCGACAAAGCUUAGCCGGCCAGAUCUGGUCGCCCACGCACCGCCGUCGCGUGGGUCGUGGCCUCAAGCAGCAUCACCUGGGUCAUGCGACCCACGCGGCAGGCUGAGCGGAGCUCAACCGGCCAGAUCUGGUCGCCUACGCACCGCUGUCGCGUGGGUCGCACGGGUUGUCACCUGCUGUCUUCUUCCUCUUACCUUGACAUUUCUGACCUGGAGUGGAUUGAUGAUGCACUAACUUUGGUCGAUCCGAGAUGUCUCGACAACAAUUCCUAAAGUCAAUUCUGGCUUGAAAUCUCCUACCGCCCAUGAGAUCGUGAAAGCUAAAUGCGAGGAGUUCUACACACUCACGGCAAUCAUUUCUGAUCUAGGCAUAGAGGCUAAAGCCAAAAAUUUGAUUGUCAAAUCGAGCUCUGGCAAAGGCCCCAACACCAGACCCCUGGAUUUUAGUGGGGUGUGACGAAUUCUCUACCCCUUUUAUUGACGGCAGUGUCAAAAUUCAAGCAGAGUUAUGGUAAGGUUUUCGUGUCGACAUUGAAGGAGAGGACGUUCAAUGCUUUGGAAAUUCAAUUGGCAGAGCAGAAAAAAGCAAUAAAGCAAGAUCCCAACUUUACCAAACUAUUGUCAAAGAAGAAGCUGAACUUUUAGAUGAGAGGAAACUCUUGUAAUGACUGGCUGCAAUCCAUCGUCUCCUCGACAUCAAGAGGUCUGCUAUCGAAAAGGCGGGGAGAAUCUUGAAGAGAUGCUCCGAUGAGUUUGAUAAGACUUUGAAAGUAUAUGAUCAGCAGUAAGCGGAGAUUGACGAGCACUUCGCGAUCAAGCAACAAUGUAUUAGUGAGAACGAUGAUUUAGAUAUUCCUCUUACCUCUGGUAUUCCCUGCUUCUCUUAUCUUUGAUACUUCUCGAUAAAAUGAAAGUACUUCUUCAAACAAUUAUUGUCCUCAUCAUCUUGGCAUUGUGCCACAUGACAGUGAUGGGACAUUUUCCAUAAACGCAUCAUUUUUUUGGUCAAUGGAGCUACCUUCAAUC